GGGGGGGGUAAGCGUUGUUCGGAAUUACUGGGCGUAAAGGGCUCGUAGGCGGCCAACUAAGUCGGACGUGAAAUCCCUCAGCUUAACUGGGGAACUGCGUCCGAUACUGGAUGGCUUGGAUUUGGGAGAGGGAUGCGGAAUUCCAGGUGUAGCGGUGAAAUGCGUAGAUAUCCGGAGGAACACCGGUGGCGAAGGCGGCAUCCUGGACCAAUAUUGACGCUGAGGAGCGAAAGCCAGGGGAGCAAACGGGAUUAGAUACCCCGGUAGUCCUGGCCCUAAACGAUGAAUGCUUGGUGUGGCGGGUAUCGACCCCUGCCGUGCCGAAGCUAACGCAUUAAGCAUUCCGCCUGGGGAGUACGGUCGCAAGGCUG
rnacentral:rRNA from 1 species